rnacentral:rRNA from 1 species
GAUGAACGCUGGCGGCGUGCCUAAUACAUGCAAGUCGAGCGAACGGACGAGAAGCUUGCUUCUCUGAUGUUAGCGGCGGACGGGUGAGUAACACGUGGAUAACCUACCUAUAAGACUGGGAUAACUUCGGGAAACCGGAGCUAAUACCGGAUAAUAUUUUGAACCGCAUGGUUCAAAAGUGAAAGACGGUCUUGCUGUCACUAAUAGAUGGAUCCGCGCUGCAUUAGCUAGUUGGUAAGGUACCGGCUUACCAAGGCAACGAUGCAUAGCCGACCUGAGAGGGUGAUCGGCCACACUGGAACUGAGACACGGUCCAGACUCCUACGGGAGGCAGCAGUAGGGAAUCUUCCGCAAUGGGCGAAAGCCUGACGGAGCAACGCCGCGUGAGUGAUGAAGGUCUUCGGAUCGUAAAACUCUGUUAUUAGGGAAGAACAUCUGUGUAAGUAACUGUGCCCAUCUUGACGGUACCUAAUCAGAAAGCCACGGCUAACUACGUG